rnacentral:lncRNA from 1 species
CUCCCCCUGCGAGCAAUUUGCCGGACCUGAACUCCGUCGCCGACAAGGAUUCCGGCGAGGAGUUCCCUCCUCAACAGCCGCCGGAGAACUACCACCAUCACCAUCACCACCACCAUCAUCAGCAGAAGCAGCACCAGGAGCAUCACCAGCAGGGGCAGAGGAGGGGCUCCCCGGAGGAGCAGAGGGCGGCGAGGAGGAAGCGGAUCGAGAUGAUCCACACGAGGAGGAGGAUUGCCGCCAUGAGAUGACACCUCCUCAAGGAUCCCCCCUCCUCCUCCCUGAUUACUCUCACACAUACUACCUCUGCUGCUACCACACUAGUUAGGGUUUUUGGCUGUAACAUACCUUCCUCCUCCUCGCCGGCGACGGAGACGAACAAGCUAGGAGAAUCCGGUGGCCAAUCCUCACCCGCCGGCGGGAGGAAGGACUCCUACGCUUGAGAUUGCUUGCUCACUCGGCUCCUUGUUCUUCUUCUUCUUCAAUAUUUAUUCUAUCAAUAAAAGGUUUAUUAUUAUUUUUACGACGGAAUGGGCCAGGAAAAAUGGUCCAGAUGGAUUUAGUUACCAAUCAGCCCGUUAAGCAGAGUUCCUCAUCAGCCAAAAUCCAGCCUCACCGGACCCGGGCCUGAGCCCGUCGACCAUUGUACGGCCCGCGGGCCGAAGCUGAGCCUCAUAUGCUUAUUUUUCAGAGGGGGGGGGAGGGGGAUGGAUUAUUGUGGGCCCUACCUUCUCAAGGAGCGGGGCUGAGACCCAGGGCCCACCACCGGAGACCCCUAGUAGACAAGGCUGGUGUCUAGCCUGCAACAGUGCCACGUCAGAAAACAUUCAUGGUCAACGAUCGGUGAAGAAUGGAAUGUCUACUACCCUUUGUGCGAGUCAGCCGGGGUGGUUCUCUCCUUGUUUUCUAGAUAGAGAAACAAAUAAGAUAAAAUAAAAUAAAUUCGAAACAAAGAUGAGUAUGGGUUCGGAUUUGUAUUCUGAUGCAUAGGCAUGAACUAAAAUAAACAGGGAGCUGGAGUCCAUGCAUUUGAGAGGACAUAUAUGAUUAGCAAUCUUAUAAAAGUAAGUUCUUUUAUCAUUAAAGGCACAGAAGAGGACCAGAAGUCGGUCGGACUGCCUGUAAAAGCACUUCUAAAAGAACUUACUUUGGCAACGUUAUGUAUCUGUCCGUAUCCCCCGCAAUCUGAAAAGCCCAAAAAGAGUAACUCCAAAGGUAAGAAGGAAAAUAGAUUCGACAUUGAGAAAGCCAGCUGCUUGUACCUCUUCAAUAGGGCCGUUGUAGAAUAUUCCCUCAGAUGGCGGCUUGGAGCCCAUAGAAGUGCCAUGUCAAGAUGCAUUGGAUGUGAUAGAAGAAACCCAAGUUUAUAGUAUCCUGACAUGACAUCUACUCUGCGAAAUUUUUUUUCUUCUUAUAGAAAAGUUGUACGGGUAUGAUGCCUGUGCAGAGGAAGGAACAGCAGCAUGGGCAAAUUCCUGAGCUUCGAGAUGACAUAAGGUUAAUAAAAUCAGGCCUCGAAGACAGAAAUAACGUAGAAAUGAUGAAAAAAAUAUCAAUAUCUAGAGUUGAAAGGCAUUUCCAAAAUCUCAGUAGGCACGUGUUUUAUAUGAUCAAGAUGGCUGAUCUUUCAACAUUUCUGCGUAUUAUACCAUUGUCUGAUAAAGUUGAAUAGCCAUUUCGGCACCCUGUAGGUUAGGAUACAGCAAGCUACGUAAAACGGACACGCAAAAUUAGCAAAUGAUUAACUUUUUCCUCAGAGGCAGAAAAAUGAAGGCAUAUGAAAUUCAACAAGCAACCUCAGAUUCAAAUUUACAACUUUAAUUGAGGAUAAAUGGUAGCGAAUUGAUCGGCAAUGAUGUCAGGAGAAGCAGUUUCCGGAUGGCAAAUAUAUUUUUUGAAAUGCAUACAGGGCAAUAGCAAUCAUAUAAAUCAAGGGCCGGAGUAUUUCCAAACGGAAAAUAAUGGCUGCGAAGUAUCUUGGGAUAUCUUGCAGGGAAUCCACAAGAAUAAGCUACACGAACAAACCCAAUUUCAGAAUAAAUAAGUUUUUACCAUUUACACCACUAAAAUCAUGACCUACGUGCACAGAGAAAUUUUGGACGAGCGUGUGAUGGUCAAAAGGAUAACGAAGGGCAGUCCUUGCUGCAACCACCUUCAAAGUUGCUUCACCUGCACAGACAAACAAAAGUACUUCAGAGAUAGAUGGAUAGAUAGAGAGCGAAAAAGUGUGUGUGUGUGUGUGUGUAGUGAGAGAGAGAGAGAGAGAGAGAGAGAGAGAGAGAGAGAGAGNNNNNNNNNNNNNNNNNNNNNNNNNNNNNNNNNNNNNNNNNNNNNNNNNNNNNNNNNNNNNNNNNNNNNNAGAGAGAGAGAGAGAGAGAGCUUGCAUUAAAAUCUGUCAUAUAUGGUUUAAAGGCAGAAUGCAGUACUUUCCUCUCAAAGAGAGCUUCGGACGAUCUGAGAUGGGAGAGGAUACGGUUACGACAGAUCGAUUCAAUGCGUGAACUACAAAUUCAUUAUUCACUCCAAGUACAAAUUCUGUUUCUUCUCAUGCUAUGGCCACUGCAAUGAUAAAAUAUUAAUAUCCUAUCCACAACUGAACCUAAAAAGAAAAUGACCUUUUAUUUCUAUGAAUAAAUUAAAUUUACAGCGAGCAGCUUUUUUUGGAGAAACACAAGCGGUAUCCACCUACCGAGCAGGACCAGCAAAUGCAACAUCAUUGAUUGGACAUUUUCACCUACAGUGAGGAUAUCCCCUCCCAUGACGUCAGUUACAUCUCUGGUAUCCGACUGGCAUCUAGCAACUGAACAGUACAAAAAAAAAUUCUAAGAUCAAUAUUCAAGAAAUUAAUGUUCGAGAACUAUAUAAACAUGUGGUGAAGGAUGUGAAUAUGAAACUUCAAAGACUAUAUGGAAACAUGUCACCAGAUAAACCGUAAAAAAACAAUUUUGAAAAACCAUAAAUACUACCAUGCCAAUCAACUACGCCGUGAGUUCCUAGAGAAAGCAGGCCACCUAAUCAUCAAAGCAAAAGAGCGAAACGGAAGCGCUCUGCUCAAAAAUGGACAGGAAAUCAUCAAUGAUGCAGAAAUUCUACUUGGGUCUACGCCAUACAUUGUAUGGAAAAGAGUCAUCCAAUUCAUUAUAUUUAUAAGUUAAUCCCCGACUUGAAAAUACAUUAUUUUAGGGAAAAAAAAGGUUGAUAUAGUAGAACCUUGACAAAACACAGCGCGGACAGGAAGCAGUCCUUGGAUGCCAUUAUUUAAUAACACGAUGCAUCACCAUCUAGAGAUAUUCAAAACAUACUCCGGGGGAGCGAGAAAAUUAACUACAAUUACGAGGGGAAGGGGAGUAAAAUUACGGGGUCAAUGUCUGUCGCCCAUUUUAAGCAAAUUAAUUUCUUAUGCUAGCAAGGAUUUGACAUGUUGUAAAUUUUGUUAUUCAUGUUUAGAUUCCAAUGAUGGGGGCGAAUCGCCUCAUACCUUUAAAACUGCAAACGCAGACGCUUGUUGAAGGGACUGAUUAAAGAUUUCAGAGAUGAUCCCGAAUUAUGGCUUUUCAAUGGACUACUGAAAUCUUUUGGCUUUCUUUCCCGCAGUAUCAUCAAAAGCUAUGUAGCUCCUUAGUAUCGUCCACUAUUACCUAGCGUUCCAUCACGAUCCAGCCAUUACUUACAUUGACUGCCUUACGAUGGCACAAAUACACCAAUUUAAGAAGGCAGUUGAAUGGAAGAAAGCUAAAUAUCAUCACACAGAACUUCCUCCCAGUUCCAUCUUUUUCUUCUCUCCAAAAUGAGAUGCCACUUCGUUGCUCCAAAAUAUCAACAAUUUUUUUUUCUCCAUGAACGUCUAUAGUAUGGAGCCCCCAGGGCGAAGCUAGUGGGAUAAAUACAUGACAGCCCAUCGGGGAGAGUGAAGAUUCCGUGUUAAGACUGAAUAAGGAAGUGUUGAUCUGUUGAUGAUCAACACUUCCAGACUGACUAAGCGGCGUUCUGUCUUUCUUACAGACUGAAUAGACGCUCGAUCAGUUGAUGAUCGUUGAUAUGAUUUGAGUCGAGAUUCCGGGAUCGCAGAUGACUUUCUCGAGAGGAAUUUUCAAGCUAAAUAACUCGAUCAAGACUGAACAAGAUAAUAAAACGAAAACAACAAUCAAUACAGAUAUUAAAUCCUCGAAGUGAUUUUCUUUUGCGCACAAUAAAAUUCCUUGGAUCUUCAGGAAUCAUGGAUUAGAGAAGCAAAAGGACGAGAGGGAGAGAACGAUGUACGAUGAGAGAGAAUGAGAGUGAGGAAAGAGCCAGGAAGAUGGAGAAGGUUACCUUAAAGUACUCAUCAUACCCAUGGGUAUGAACGGAGAUUAAGCAAACAAGCUGAGCUGUUACGUUCAGAUACUGGAGGGUACGAGAGCGGUUCUUCUCGCACACCGGAGACUUUUUCUAAACCCCAGACGACAGGCAUGCGGCGAAAUCCGAUGGCCAAAUGUACGUCAGAAAACAGGGAAAAGGACAAAGAUGGAUCGCCGCGGCAGGAAGGAAAACAACCGAACAACUCGAAAAAUCCCUAAAUCGACACUGAACGAAGAUCACAAAAUAAAAACGACGGAUCAGUUACCUUCAGAGAUCGAAGCCCCCCGAAGAGCUGUUCGUCUUAUAGACGAGGCAAAUUCUUCGAGAUCCUAACGGUGUCGCCGACCACAGCGGCGGAACGGAGAGCGUAAUGCACCUCGGGAGCCGGGGGAGGAAGGCGAAGAGCAGCGCCGGCGAGAUGAUG